GGGAAAUGGAUGUUGUUAUUGUGGACAAAAAUUUGUAUAUGAGUAAAAACUGAGGCGAGAAAAAAGAAAAUAAGGAACUGUGAACCGUGGUCAAAUGGAUUACCACAUAGAUCAAUCAAAUACAAUUUCAAAUUUAUCCGAGCUAGCCACUGAAAUGAAAACUAACAACGGCAUUCAUAUCAAAUGCAAUUCAAGACCGACAGUUCAAAAAAUUCGCCUGAAAAAUGAGCCGAAAAAUUAAUUCCAGCGAUCAGCUGAUAGUGGCCUUUAUCGAUAGUUAUCGAUUACAUGCGAUACAUUUUCUUAAACAGCUUUUAUAACCAUAAUUAUUAAUUAAAAUAAACAAAAACUACUAAUUAUACUAAACAUUAGCAAAGACCUUAUUUUUGUAUGGGUUAAAUUUUCGUAUUUCCUGGUCUUCGGAAUGGAGAAACUUGAUCGAUGUGCUCAACGAAACAAACCAUUGAUUGGUAUUUUAUAUUUAAACAAUUUACUUAAAUAUUCUACAAUAAUAGCACAUAAAAUCGUUAGGAGCUUUUAAAUCUUUAUGAUGAGGCUGAUGGCAUUCUAUUAGG